ACGGGGGGGGCAAGCGUUGUUCGGAAUUACUGGGCGUAAAGGGCGCGUAGGCGGCCUGCUAAGUCGGACGUGAAAUCCCUCGGCUCAACCGAGGAACUGCGUCCGAUACUGGUGGGCUUGAAUCCGGGAGAGGGAUGUGGAAUUCCAGGUGUAGCGGUGAAAUGCGUAGAUAUCUGGAGGAACACCGGUGGCGAAGGCGGCAUCCUGGACUACUACUGACGCUGAGGAGCGAAAGCCAGGGGAGCAAACGGGA
rnacentral:rRNA from 1 species